UGAGGUUCUGGUUGCCCUUAACAACAGCAGCAGCGGUAACAGCAACACCUCCACACACGGAAGUCCGUGGCUUUUGCCUAAGCGCACCUCUCAGAAGAAGUCAGUGAGAUCAGCAUCUCUGAGGCAGGAGCACCAGGAAAAACAUCCUUACCAUGGGAAAACCAAGAGGAUGACGAUGGCAACCAGCAACUGAUGGAGCCCAGUGAACCUGGAGCGCAGAGAGUGGGAGACGAUUGAUAGGCAAAGGACAGCGGAUGCACAGGUUCUAACCCCACCUGUCACCCACGGGGAACACAGGCCUAUGGUGUCAGAUGCCUUGGGUCAUUGAGAGACUAUAAAAUAAUCAAUGUGUAUGUAUGGGUGUCUGCAUGUGUAAGUUAGGUGCCUGUGGAGGCCAGAAGAGAGAAUCAGAUCCCCUGUGAGUUGCUUGAUGGGAAUGCCGGGAACCAAACCUGUGCCUUCUACAAGAGUGGCAAGAGCUCAUGAUGGCUUAGCUACCUCUUCAGCCCUAUGCUGCCUCUAAUUUUAAGACUGCAAUACAGACACUGAGUCUAAGAUGUUAUUGAUGGAAACACGCCCUGAUAUUUAAUAAAAACAGAAUAUGUCA